GCUGGUGUAGCUCAGUUGGUAGAGCAGUUGAUCCGUAAUCAACAGGUCGGGGGUUCGAGCCCCUUCACCAGCUCCA
rnacentral:tRNA from 3 species